UACGUAGGGGGCAAGCGUUGUCCGGAAUUAUUGGGCGUAAAGCGCGUGUAGGCGGCCAGGUAGGUCUGCUGUGAAAACUCGAGGCUCAACUUCGAGAUGUCGGCGGAAACCAUCUGGCUAGAGUCCGGAAGAGGAGAGUGGAAUUCCUGGUGUAGCGGUGAGAUGCGCAGAUAUCAGGAAGAACACCCGUGGCGAAGGCGGCUCUCUGGGACGGUACUGACGCUGAGACGCGAAAGCGUGGGGAGCGAACAGG
rnacentral:rRNA from 1 species